UCAAAUAAAUAAAUAAGCUGUUUUUUAAAAAUCACUGUAAUUAAAAACAAAAACUCCUGGAUACCUAAGGUUGGCAAAAUGCUGAUCGUUGUUGUGGCUGGCCGAAUUCUAAAGAUUUCAAGAUUCUAAUUUUGUACUGCUCUGAAGGGACUUUGCAGAUGGAAUUUAGAUGACUAAGUAGCUGACGUUAAAACAGGCAAAUUAUCCUGGGUUAUCCAGGCAGGCCCUUAAAAACAGAGGAGGGAGGCAGAAGAGUCAGAGAGAUAAGGCAGAAACAGAAAGCGGGAGAGGAGAGGGUGAAGGGGGAGAGGGACUAUUUACACUUCCCUUUAGGUUACAGGCACAGAGAAACCUUUAGGCUGAACUUAAAAUAUGUGAGUAGCUUUAAGCUAAACUUGAUUUAACAGGGAAAAACAGGACUUUGCAAAAAUUCUUUUAGGGAGUGUACUAUCGAGCACAUUUGAAGACCACAGGUCUCGAAAGCGGGGAAGACGGGACCCAGAGUCCCCCGCAGCAGCGUCACGGCCCAGCUCUGGUUCUCAAGUUGGGCUGCUGUUUUUCCCCUUUUUCUCAUCCGCCAGGAUGCCAGGCGCUGCUGAAAGCUGCAGCCGAAAGGAUUUAGAAUUCCUUACAACGGAGAAAGGGUCUUUGCUCAGACAACAUGGACUUAAGAGACGGAAGGGCCAAAAAGGCUUGAAAACAGGCUCGAAGAGCGGCUUCCUGGUAGCUAGAAGCUUAAGUGGGGACAGAUGAGCUUAACUGGCAAGCCUGCGUGUGUGCUCUCCAGCCCCCGUGAUUCAGUUUAAAUCUGGGCGGGUCUCCUCAAAGACAGUUCCAGAAGGGGCCACGUGAGGGCAGUAAGAGCCUCUCAAUGCCUGUUUUUGGGGGAAGAGAGAAGUGAGGGCGGAGCGCGGGGAGCGUCCCAGGCCUGGCUACCCGGAUAACUUCCCCAAAAGAAGCUAUGCUCGGGCCUUCCCAUCGUCCCACUCAAGAGCUUUCUUCAUAUUGGUCCCUUGGUUGAAUUCUGUGUUCUGAAGAGGCAAGAAUUGAGGUUGCUGCAGACCUGUAUGGAUUCGCCACCAGUAACAAGAUCUCAGAACACUGGAAAAAUCGAUGCACAAAAAAAAAAGGUUUCUGUUGCUCUAUUAGGAUGAUGUCUGAAUUUGAACCCACCACACGAGGGAAAAGAAGUCGACAGAGACUUGAGCUGUGCCGAAACAACUGUGUCCUGAUUUCCCCAGGCCCUACACAGCUCAUGGUAUACGGAAUGCAAGGGAAGAACUGCUUGCAGGCCACAGGGUGGACAAGGCCCUGGAGCUCUGCGAAACCAGGAAGGCACCAUGGAUGGCUCUGGCUUCCAGAAGUUUAAUAGGAAAAAAAAGGCAAACAAACAUUAAGACAGAAAAUGCAUGCAGCAUAUAGCGCCCACAGCUCCUUUUUCUUGGCGUGCCCCUGGUCCCUGCAGCCACUUGGCCAAGUGCAGUGUCUGUCUUCCUUCAGGUCCUCUAUUGGUGUGCACUUCUCGAGCCUAGGGCCACGUCUUUCCAUCUUUGGACAAAUGCCAGUGCCUUUUCUGACACAUUGUAAGUGCUGAAUAGAUAGUAAAUGGCUGACUGAACAAAUGCAACUUACAACUAUAUAAUGGAAGAUGUGGAAGUAAUCGGGGUGUAGUUUUUUUUUUUCUUGGAUUAUCCGUUUUCUCUCUGGGAUCCAUGGUGGUUUAUAUACAAAAUCUCAAGGUCAAUGUCUCCUUAGUUGGGGAGCCUAAGUAGGAAAAAUAGGAAAUGGCUAAAGCAUUAAGAAAAAGAUAAAGAAGUGUUACAUGUCCUUAUGAAAACACAGACACUGUAGAGAGAAAGUCUGCAGGACCCUAAUGAGCUAACUGCAAAGGGGUUAUAAAUUCUACAUGGUGUCUAUCUGCAAGCCAGGGCCACCUCAAGGUCUAAGACCCUUGACGUUGCUGUCAUAUGAAUGUGUGAAGAUAGGUUUCAAUUGAGAUUGAUUAGAAAAGGUAUCUUGCCCCAAUCGAAAAUUGGACAAAUGAUAAGAGCAGGUAAAUCACAGGAGACACAAAUGCCCCCAGAAGCUGUAAAAUGCUAGAUUGACGCCAAUCACCCAGACAGUGUUGUAACUGUCAUCAUCAGUUUUGUGACAGGUGAACAAGAUUAUUUGAAAUCGUGGUUGGAAUUAUAAUAAUAGCUAACAUUUAUAGUGUUGUCUGUCCCUGUCAACCUCUUUCCCCUGGUGUGACUUUAUCCCGCUAUAACAACAGAAAUUCAUAAAUGAAAAAAAAAUUGUUUUCUGAAAUGCA
rnacentral:lncRNA from 1 species